rnacentral:rRNA from 1 species
ACCUACGGGGGGCAGCAGUGAGGAAUAUUGGUCAAUGGUCGGGAGACUGAACCAGCCAAGCCGCGUGAGGGAGGAAGGUACAGAGUAUCGUAAACCUCUUUUGUCAGGGAACAAAGGCGGGGACGUGUCCCCGGAUGAGUGUACCUGAAGAAAAAGCAUCGGCUAACUCCGUGCCAGCAGCCGCGGUAAUACGGAGGAUGCGAGCGUUAUCCGGAUUUAUUGGGUUUAAAGGGUGCGCAGGCGGUCUGUUAAGUCAGCGGCCAAAGCCCGGGGCUCAACCCCGGCCCGCCGUUGAAACUGGCAGU